ACUUUAGAAAAAAGAACCAUCUUCCAGGGAAAUGCUGGUUAUUUUUAUUCUGACGGAGUCAUCACACUGCUAUCCUUCCGGGAAAGUGCCUGGUCACUAAUGACUGAGAUGGGCAUGUGGGGGUAGAGUCCACUUGCUGUUUGUCUUGUGUCAGAUUGUUGUUUCCUCGGCACAUUUGAGCUACAGAAUGAAAGUAAAGAUGCUGAACUUCAAAUCACAAUUGUCCCCCUGAUAUUUCUUUUCCAACAUCUGUUCAAUUACCAGUGAGCAUUUGAAGAGGCUGGCAGGACAUGCAGGGCACAAAGC
rnacentral:lncRNA from 1 species